rnacentral:rRNA from 1 species
CCUACGGGGGGCAGCAGUGAGGAAUAUUGGUCAAUGGGCGGGAGCCUGAACCAGCCAAGUCGCGUGAGGGAAGACGGUCCUAUGGAUUGUAAACCUCUUUUAUAAAGGAAUAAAGUGAGGCACGUGUGCCUUUUUGUAUGUACUUUAUGAAUAAGGAUCGGCUAACUCCGUGCCAGCAGCCGCGGUAAUACGGAGGAUCCGAGCGUUAUCCGGAUUUAUUGGGUUUAAAGGGAGCGUAGCUGGAUUGUUAAGUCAGUUGUGAAAGUUUGCGGCUCAACCGUAAAAUUGCAGUUGAAACUGGCAGUCUUGAGUACAGUAGAGGUGGGCGGAAUUCGUGGUGUAGCGGUGAAAUGCUUAGAUAUCACGAAGAACUCCGAUUGCGAAGGCAGCUCACUGGACUGCAACUGACACUGAGGCUCGAAAGUGUGGGUAUCAAACAGGAUUAGAUACCCCUGUAGUC